rnacentral:rRNA from 1 species
AUACGUAGGGGGCGAGCGUUGUCCGGAAUGAUUGGGCGUAAAGGGCGCGUAGGCGGCGCGGUAAGUCUGGAGUGAAAGUCCUGCUUUCAAGGUGGGAAUUGCUUUGGAUACUGCCGCGCUUGAGUGCAGGAGAGGUUAUCGGAAUUCCCGGUGUAGCGGUGAAAUGCGUAGAGAUCGGGAGGAACACCAGUGGCGAAGGCGGGUAACUGGACUGCAACUGACGCUGAGGCGCGAAGGUGUGGGGAGCAAACAGGAUUAGAUACCCUGGUAGUCCACACUGUAAACGAUGAAUGCUAGGUGUAAGAGGUAUCGACCCCUUUUGUGCCGGAGUCAACACAAUAAGCAUUCCGCCUGGGGAGUACGGCCGCAAGGUUGAAACUUAAAGGAAUUGACGGGG